rnacentral:snRNA from 1 species
AAAGUUAUUUCUAUAUUGUUAAUAAAAAAUUUCUGUUCUUAUCAGCUUAAUAUCUGAUAUGUUAGGCAAUGCCUAACUCAUAUAUUAAACUGAUUUUUGGACUUCGGCCAUGGGAUUGAAGCUUGCUUCGCCCUGGCCACGGGUUGUCUCGGUAUUGCACUACAUCCGAGUACGGCCCCUUCCCC